GAUGAACGCUGGCGGCGUGCCUAAUACAUGCAAGUCGAGCGAACGGACGAGAAGCUUGCUUCUCUGAUGUUAGCGGCGGACGGGUGAGUAACACGUGGAUAACCUACCUAUAAGACUGGGAUAACUUCGGGAAACCGGAGCUAAUACCGGAUAAUAUUUUGAACCGCAUGGUUCAAAAGUGAAAGACGGUCUUGCUGUCACUUAUAGAUGGAUCCGCGCUGCAUUAGCUAGUUGGUAAGGUAACGGCUUACCAAGGCAACGAUGCAUAGCCGACCUGAGAGGGUGAUCGGCCACACUGGAACUGAGACACGGUCCAGACUCCUACGGGAGGCAGCAGUAGGGAAUCUUCCGCAAUGGGCGAAAGCCUGACGGAGCAACGCCGCGUGAGUGAUGAAGGUCUUCGGAUCGUAAAACUCUGUUAUUAGGGAAGAACAUAUGUGUAAGUAACUGUGCACAUCUUGACGGUACCUAAUCAGAAAGCCACGGCUAACUACGUGCCAGCAGCCGCGGUAAUUCGUAGGUGGGCAGCGUUAUCCGGAAUUAUGGGCGUAACGCGCGUAGCGGUUUUUUAGUCUGAUGUGAAAGCCCACGGCUCAUCCGUGGAGGGUCAUUGGAAACUGGAAAACUUGAGUGCAGAAGAGGAAAGUGGAAUUCCAUGUGUAGCGGUGAAAUGCGCAGAGAUAUGGAGGAACACCAGUGGCGAAGGCGACUUUCUGGUCUGUAACUGACGCUGAUGUGCGAAAGCGUGGGGAUCAAACAGGAUUAGAUACCCUGGUAGUCCACGCCGUAAACGAUGAGUGCUAAGUGUUAGGGGGUUUCCGCCCCUUAGUGCUGCAGCUAACGCAUUAAGCACUCCGCCUGGGGAGUACGACCGCAAGGUUGAAACUCAAAGGAAUUGACGGGGACCCGCACAAGCGGUGGAGCAUGUGGUUUAAUUCGAAGCAACGCGAAGAACCUUACCAAAUCUUGACAUCCUUUGACAACUCUAGAGAUAGAGCCUUCCCCUUCGGGGGACAAAGUGACAGGUGGUGCAUGGUUGUCGUCAGCUCGUGUCGUGAGAUGUUGGGUUAAGUCCCGCAACGAGCGCAACCCUUAAGCUUAGUUGCCAUCAUUAAGUUGGGCACUCUAAGUUGACUGCCGGUGAUAAACCGGAGGAAGGUGGGGAUGACGUCAAAUCAUCAUGCCCCUUAUGAUUUGGGCUACACACGUGCUACAAUGGACAAUACAAAGGGCAGCGAAACCGCGAGGUCAAGCAAAUCCCAUAAAGUUGUUCUCAGUUCGGAUUGUAGUCUGCAACUCGACUACAUGAAGCUGGAAUCGCUAGUAAUCGUAGAUCAGCAUGCUACGGUGAAUACGUUCCCGGGUCU
rnacentral:rRNA from 1 species